CGGCAGUGAGACAAAUAAUGACGAGAGAGUGAUCGAAUGAAUAAGAAAGAGUAGAGAAUCUCCAGAUCCAAAAACAAGCAAAGAAGAAGAUCUGCAUAAACCAGAAGAAGCGGAUAGAAGUUCUUUACACACAGGUAGAGUCUGAAAACUGCUUCAGCAGGGCAUUAUGGGAUAUUUGAUAAAUAUGGACAAAAUCAUCCAGCCGUGUGAGGCGGUGUCUUUGAAAGCGCACAUGUUUCAGGUCCCACUGGCGCUUGUCCAUAAUGUCUUGUGUUUUGUUUUGGUUCUUAUUGGCCAGGCACUCUUGUGUUGUCAUGUUUUGUGUGAACAUGCAGUCUGUGAGUUCUCAUAGUUGCGUGUUCAUGUCUCGUUUUGUGUAAGCACAUGGCUUGUGAUUUUGUUUUCAUUGGCCAUGUGCUUGUGUUUUUAUGUUUGGUGUGAGCACAUGGCUUGUCAUAGACAAACUUUAAGUUGGCUUGAAAAAGCCUAGCCAGAAAGUUUGGAGUCGUUUUAAAAGCUUGAAGUUUGAAAUAGUUUUUUUAGUUUAGUAGUUUAAAAGCUAGCUAGUGUGUGAGUGAGUGUGUGUGUGAGUGUGUGAGUGAGUGAGUGUGUGAGUGAGUGUGAGUAAGUGAGUGUGAGUGAGUGUGUGAGUAAGUGAGUGUGUGAGUGAGUGAGUGUGUGAGUGAGUGUGUGUGUGAGUGAGUAAGUGAGUGUGUGAGUGAGUGAGUGAGUGAGUAAGUGAGUGUGUGAGUGAGUGUGUGAGUAUGUUAGUUAGUGUGUGUGGGAGUGAUUGCUAUGUGGUUGCUAGGGUACUCAGGGUGGUUGCUAAGGUGUUGCUAUGCAACAGCUAAGGGACCCAGGAUGGUUGCUACGGUGUUACUAUAGUAUUCUGGGUGGUUGCUAGGGUGUUGCUGUUAUACAAUACAGAUUGACUCAAAGCAUUUGUUACAUAUAUAUGAACAUACACAGACAUACAUAUGCAUAAUAUCUAUAAUAUAAUAAAUUAUGUAUUUAAUAUAUAUAUAUAUAUAUAUAUACACACACACAUUUAUUUAAUUUACAUUUAAAAAGCAACAACAUUAUCUUAAGAUUAAUUAAAACUCGUUUAAUGCAAAGAUGUGAUGUAAUUAAAUAAAUUAUUGUUUUCCCUUAUUUUUCCCAACAAAACUAAGCAAAUGAACAGAACGUUGACUGAUUCAGUGAUAAAUUAAUUAUUAUUGUUAGUAUUCAUUAAAUAUUUCUGAAAUGUAUAUUAUCAUUUUUUGUCAAAUGCCCAUUUAAUGGUUGACAAACACACCAUUGCACAGUAAACAUACUAGCAGGAUUUUAGAUCAAAUCACACAGACGUUACUAUUAAAGCUGUAAAUUGUUGAAGAGCUGAAAAUGUUUUAAGUUGUAUUUGUCUAAUAAAGAAGUACUUUAAUUCUCA